UACGGAGGAUCCAAGCGUUAUCCGGAAUCAUUGGGUUUAAAGGGUGCGUAGGCGGCGCGGUAAGUCGGGUGUGAAAUCUCGGGGCUUAACUCCGAAACUGCAUUCGAUACUGCCGUGCUUGAGGACUGGAGAGGAGACUGGAAUUUACGGUGUAGCGGUGAAAUGCGUAGAUAUCGUAAGGAAGACCAGUGGCGAAGGCGGGUCUCUGGACAGUUCCUGACGCUGAGGCACGAAGGCCAGGGGAGCAAACGGG
rnacentral:rRNA from 1 species